rnacentral:rRNA from 1 species
AUUGAACGCUGGCGGCAUGCCUUACACAUGCAAGUCGAACGGCAGCGGACCUUCGGGUGCCGGCGAGUGGCGAACGGGUGAGUAAUGUAUCGGAACGUACCUUUCAGUGGGGGAUAACGUAGCGAAAGUUACGCUAAUACCGCAUAUUCUGUGAGCAGGAAAGCAGGGGAUCGCAAGACCUUGCGCUGAUUGAGCGGCCGAUAUCAGAUUAGCUAGUUGGUGAGGUAAAGGCUCACCAAGGCGACGAUCUGUAGCGGGUCUGAGAGGAUGAUCCGCCACACUGGACCUUGUCCCCGGUCCAGACUCCUACGGGAGGCAGCCUUCUUUCGUUUUGGACAAUGGGGGCAACCCUUCUCCCCCCAUGCCGCGUGAGUGAAGAAGGCCUUCGGUUUUUCCCCCUCUUUCCCCCGGUCCUCCCUCUCCUAGGUUCCUCCCCUGUGUGGAUGACGGUACCGCCCUCCGCCCCACCGGCUAACUACGUGCCAGCAGCCGCCGUAACCC